UACAUGUGGGGCAAGCGUUGUUCGGAAUUACUGGGCAUAAAGGGCGCGUAGGCGGCUUGUUAAGUCAGGGGUGAAAGUUUUCGGCCCAACCGGAAAAUUGCCUUUGAUACUGGCGAGCUCGAGUGCGUGAGGGGUAACCGGAACGAGCAGUGUAGCGGUGAAAUGCGUAGAUAUUGCUCGGAAGGCCAACGGCGAGGGCAGGUUACUGGUACGCAACUGACGCUGAGGCGCGAAAGCGUGGGGAGCAAACAGG
rnacentral:rRNA from 1 species